rnacentral:tRNA from 3 species
GUCCCGUUCGUCUAGUGGCCUAGGACACCAGCCUCUCACGUUGGGAACAGGGGUUCGAGUCCCCUACGGGGCGCCA